rnacentral:rRNA from 1 species
AUUGAACGCUGGCGGCAUGCCUUACACAUGCAAGUCGAACGGCAGCACGGGAGCAAUCCUGGUGGCGAGUGGCGAACGGGUGAGUAAUAUAUCGGAACGUGCCCAGUCGUGGGGGAUAACGCAGCGAAAGCUGUGCUAAUACCGCAUACGAUCUAUGGAUGAAAGCGGGGGACCGCAAGGCCUCGCGCGAUUGGAGCGGCCGAUAUCAGAUAAGCUAGUUGGGGGGGUAAAGGCCCACCAAGGCGACGAUCUGUAGCUGGUCUGAGAGGACGACCAGCCACACUGGAACUGAGACACGGUCCAGACUCCUACGGGAGGGAGCAGUGGGGAAUUUUGGACAAUGGGCGCAAGCCUGAUCCAGCAAUGCCGCGUGCAGGAUGAAGGCCUUCGGGUUGUAAACUGCUUUUGUACGGAACGAAACGGUGAGCUUUAAUACAGUUUGCUAAUGACGGUACCGUAAGAAUAAGCACCGGCUAACUACGUGCCAGCAGCCGCCGUAA